UACGAAGGGGGCUAGCGUUGCUCGGAAUCACUGGGCGUAAAGGGUGCGUAGGCGGGUCUUUUAAGUCAGGGGUGAAAUCCUGGAGCUCAACUCCAGAACUGCCUUUGAUACUGGCGACCUUGAGUCCGGGAGAGGUGAGUGGAACUGCGAGUGUAGAGGUGAAAUUCGUAGAUAUUGGGAAGAACACCGAUGGCGAAGGCAGCCAUCUGGACCGACACUGACGCUGAGGCGCGAAAGCGUGGGGAGCAAACAGG
rnacentral:rRNA from 1 species